UGAAAAGUGCGCAUGUGUUGGUGCGAUUGAUGUUUCCUUGAGGUGUGCUAAAUUUAGGUUGGAGGUGGGCGCGGCGCGUCCUUGAGAGGUCACGGCUGGGCUGUAUUUUAUGACCUAGGAUUUGCCUCCUUACUUAUUGGAUGUGGCUGGCUUCGCUCACCGUCCAUCCACUUUCCAAUUCUCAACGACUCGCAACAGCCUGAAACUUCAUACUUACCUUUCAAGAGGAACUAUACUGAGAGAAACUACUUCUUACAUUCGUGGCGCGAAAGCAACUACAACGAGAAACUUCAACAGACUAGAAUCAAAAAACAUUGUGAGGUUAGCUUUAUUCUUAAAU